rnacentral:rRNA from 1 species
GACGAACGCUGGCGGCGUGCCUAAUACAUGCAAGUCGAACGAUGACGGCGGAGCUUGCUUCUCUGGAUGAGUUACGGACGGGUGAGUAGCCCGUAGGUUACCUACCUGUUAGCGGGGGGUGACUAUUUGCCACGAUAGCUCAUACCGCAUAAGAGUAAUUGUUGCAUGAUAUUUGCUUGAAAGGUUCGAUUGCAUCACUACUAGAUGGCCCUGCGUUCUAUUAGCUAGGUCGGGGGGUAACGGCUGAUCAAGGCCACGAUGCCUAGCAGACCACAGAGGGUGAUCGGCCACGCUGGGACGGAGACACGGCCCAGAACCCUACGGGUGGCAGCAGGAGGGGAUCCUCAGCGAAGGACGGAAGGCUGACCAUGCAACGCCGCGUGAGUGAAGAAGGCUGUCGGAUCGUGUAGCUCUGGUGUAAGAGAAGAACGAAUGUCACAGUUGAAAGGGAACACAGUGACGGUAUCGUACCAGAAAGCGACGGCUAACUACGUG